GACGAACCGAGCGAACGUUAUUCGGAAUCACUGGGCUUAAAGGGUGCGUAGGCGGGCCCGUCAGUCAGGGGUGAAAUCCCACGGCCUAACCGUGGAAGUGCCUCUGAUACUGCGGGCCUGGAGGGGGAUAGGGGCGUGCGGAACUUCCGGUGGAGCGGUGAAAUGCGUAGAUAUCGGAAGGAACACCGGUGGCGAAAGCGGCGCGCUGGAUCCCUACUGACGCUGAGGCACGAAAGCCAGGGGAGCAAACGGG
rnacentral:rRNA from 1 species